GUCGGAGAGCAGAAUGGGGGGAGGGGUUCUCCACCUGUGGAAGAAAUAAAAGUAGAGGGGCCUAAAUUGCUUUUGGCAUAUUCGGAAGAAGAACCACCAGCAGCGAUGGCGGGAGGAUAGUCUUCGGCCAAAUACUGAAUAAAACCGAAAAAAAGAUUCUUUGAUUCUCGUUUGGGAAAUUUUCCUAAGCAUCUGAAUCGACGAAUUCUCUCCGAUUGAAGCAAGAACCGUCUGAGUUUUUGUCUCCGGCGGUGACUGAGUUUGGUUCUUAAUUUUGUGAAAACGGUAAAAAUUUAAUUACUGAAAAAGUUUCAUGAAAAAUAAUGUUAAUGUUAUAAUAAUGAUUUCUUUUCAUUAAAGGAAGUGCAGCAUCUCUGAUUACCAAAUAAAUUGAACUCCGAUUAUCUCUCUUUCUCCUACUCUGAUUAUCUUACUCUUGCUGUUUUCUUUUCUUUUCUUGUAAGAAUUUGAGUAUUUAUUCAAACUUACUGCUAAAAUUUUAUAACACGGUACGAAC
rnacentral:lncRNA from 1 species